rnacentral:rRNA from 1 species
AUGAACGCUGGCGGCGUGCCUAAUACAUGCAAGUCGAGCGAACAGACGAGGAGCUUCUCCUCUGACGUUAGCGGCGGACGGGUGAGUAACACGUGGAUAACCUACCUAUAAGACUGGGAUAACUUCGGGAAACCGGAGCUAAUACCGGAUAAUAUAUUGAACCGCAUGGUUCAAUAGUGAAAGACGGUUUUGCUGUCACUUAUAGAUGGAUCCGCGCCGCAUUAGCUAGUUGGUAAGGUAACGGCUUACCAAGGCAACGAUGCGUAGCCGACCUGAGAGGGUGAUCGGCCACACUGGAACUGAGACACGGUCCAGACUCCUACGGGAGGCAGCAGUAGGGAAUCUUCCGCUAUGGGCGAAAGCCUGACGGAGCAACGCCGCGUGAGUGAUGAAGGUCUUCGGAUCGUAAAACUCUGUUAUUAGGGAAGAACAAAUGUGUAAGUAACUAUGCACGUCUUGACGGUACCUAAUCAGAAAGCCACGGCUAACUACGUG